GGCUAUUCUGUUCGUAAUUUAGAUAUGUCUAAUUUACUUAACGAAGUGCACCAACUAGAAGGUUUGAAGCAGAGGCAGUUGCUCCAUCUUGUUCAAAAAAAGAUGGAUGGUUAUUUUGGCCAACUUGUGUUCAUGCAAUGAAAGCUACCUAUAAUAAUUUUCUAAUCAUUGAUUCCUGCAACAAGCUUAGAUAUAAAAUAGUUAAAGUAACUGUUUUUGCAUAAUUUUGUUUUUAUUUAUUUUACUAAAUAAUUACUAAUAAAGAAGUAUGUGCAGGAUUUAAUUUCACGACUAAAGAGGACUCUGAAGAAGAAUUAAAGUUCUGGUGGAUCAAAGAUCGAGGAAUGAUUUGGUUUUAACUGGUUUGCAUCUUAUGAACGAAGUGCAUAAUAUGAUUUAAAUUGAUGAUUUAUAGUUACACCUAUUGAA
rnacentral:lncRNA from 1 species